AUUGAACGCUGGCGGCAGGCCUAACACAUGCAAGUCGAGCGGCAGCGGGAAAGUAGCUUGCUACUUUUGCCGGCGAGCGGCGGACGGGUGAGUAAUGCCUGGGGAUCUGCCCAGUCGAGGGGGAUAACUACUGGAAACGGUAGCUAAUACCGCAUACGCCCUACGGGGGAAAGCAGGGGACCUUCAGGCCUUGCGCGAUUGGAUGAACCCAGGUGGGAUUAGCUAGUUGGUGAGGUAAUGGCUCACCAAGGCGACGAUCCCUAGCUGGUCUGAGAGGAUGAUCAGCCACACUGGAACUGAGACACGGUCCAGACUCCUACGGGAGGCAGCAGUGGGGAAUAUUGCACAAUGGGGGAAACCCUGAUGCAGCCAUGCCGCGUGUGUGAAGAAGGCCUUCGGGUUGUAAAGCACUUUCAGCGAGGAGGAAAGGUUGGUAGCUAAUAACUGCCAGCUGUGACGUUACUCGCAGAAGAAGCACCGGCCAACUCCGUGCCAGCCGCCGCGGUAACAC
rnacentral:rRNA from 1 species